GAUGAAGAACGUAGCGAAAUGCGAUAAGUAGUGUGAAUUGCAGAAUUCAGUGAAUCAUCGAAUCUUUGAACGCCCAUUGCGCCGUCUAGUAAUCUGGGAGGCAUGCCUGUUUGAGCGUCAUUAAACCUCUCUCAAGUAUGAUUACUUGGAUGUGAAGGAAGAGUACCUUAAACUUAAGGAGUGUUCUCCUUUGAAAUUGAUUAGCAGAUGGUAAUGUUAUUAAAUCCCUGAUGUUGUAAGAAAUAACAGAGGUUUUGUAGACUAUUAUCUAGCUUUAAAUUAUAAUUUUUAUUAUGGUUGACCUCAAAUCAGGUAAGGAUACCCGCUGAACUUAAGCAUAUCAAUAAGCGGAGGA
rnacentral:misc_RNA from 1 species